GCCUGGGUGGCUCAGUCGGUUAAGCAUCUGACUACUGCUCAGGUCAUGAUCUCAUAGCUCAUGAGUUCAAGCUCUAUCUUAGGCU
rnacentral:tRNA from 1 species